UGGUGAGACCCGGGUGCUUUCUUCUUCAGGAACGAAUACGCCCGUCAGGACGUUACAGAAUCGCUGGCUGUGGUAGAGUGGAUACUGGAACAACGUACAGUGCAGUGAGAUUAGAGGUACAAGGGGAAUAGAAUGUUUCAAAGGAUACUUUAAUACGUGACUGCAGUGUGAGGUCAUAUCGAGCUGACGAAGCAGGCGCUUUGACGUGUUUCAACAGUGGUACCUGUAUACUUUAUCUUGCCUCUUCUACCGGUAGCACUGAUGGCACUGGUACGCUCUACGAUACGGACUACUUCAGGGAGAUUCCUUCUCAGCAUCCGUCCUAAAUAUAUCUCGCCACAAUACACUCCGACUCGACGACUCGGUUUGGAAUUCGACUCUGCACCCUUGGACAGAUUCCACCUCGGGAAGGACAAAUCGCGAGGAUUCGUCUCCCGUCGGAUUCCAUCUAGUGACAACUUUUCUUCAGGAAGCUGAUAGCUGAUUGAUACUUGAACACCGAAAACUGAACGUAUUGUCCGUCCCUAACGGUUCAGUGGUUAACCUACGGUGCCAACCGCGACAAGCUGACCCAAGUGGUUUUUACCUAGACAAAGGUCCUUUAAUUUCGUAAUGGCUGCCCAGGGAUGAUGAUUCGUGCCCAACCUUCAUUCCAACCUCUUAGAGCAAUAGACUGCACGAAGGGACAUCCCAGCUACCUGCUGACGCCUACCAAUUAUUCAAGUAAGAGACCAAUCCCGCUAACCUCCACAUAAACCUAAACUCAGAUCAGCGAAUCCGUGAAAAAAAAUUGUGAGCAAAAAAAAUUUUCAAAAUAAAAAAAAUGAUACCCGCAAAAAUUUCCGAUUUAUACAAAUAACAUCCACACUA